rnacentral:lncRNA from 1 species
CGGAACAGAGCACAUGCGCAAAGAAGCCCUCUAGAACCACAUGGCUUAAGCCCCUAGUGACAGAUUGGGCAUUUGAACCUUAGAGAAAAUUGACACUACUAAAAAGUUUCCAAAUAAGAAGUGACAGUGAAAAUAAUGAUUAUGUCGGCUAGGAUUUGGAGAGAUUGGAAGACAAAUGGAAGGAACCAGAGUAGAGGAAGGAAUGCUUUUCUUAGUAGUCCUAGUGCCUAAUAUUUCCAAUAUCUUAAUAAGGCGUUCAUGGAAGAAAAUGCCAGUGUUUACCUACCUGCUGCGCUUCCAUCUGUUAGAGUGGUGCAUGUAUACACAAAAAUCAUAUUUCCUUUGUAUGACUUUGAAUGGUAGACCAUAAGGAAGACCUCAUUGGCACCGAACGACCACAUAUUAUCUCUUUAGUAUGAGAAUAAACUAUGACAUCAUCUCACAUCUGGACAGUUGAUGCUGGGAACAGGUGCUUUCAAACGUUUCACACUAGCAACACUGAUUUCCGAAAUAUCCAGAGGUCUUGCGAUGCAGCUGUUUUUUGUUAAGAAGAAAGUACGUAUUUGGCCA